ACCCCCAUAAGCCUUCUUGGUAUAGUGCUUAAUUAGUUAUGUGCAGGGACAACUUUACCUCUUUUUUUACCACUUGAAGUGCCUUAAAAUUGUGUAACUAUUAUUCCCAACAACGAUACAUGUAUGAAUGAAUUCAUGAAUAUGUAUUGAUAUACUUUCCUUUAUAACACGUUGGUUAUUCCGGUGCCCGCCUGCAGAUCUGGAGCAUCUGUCUGGUUCUGAUGAGUCCCUUCCCUCUUUUGCCUGAGAAAUGCCAUGAUAAAUAUCGAUCGGUAUUACUCGCUUUCCACCUGGGGUUCGAUUAAAUAACCUGCCAGACCGAAUGCAUCUAUAAAUGUUACGCCACAGUAUUAAAUUGCUUGAUUUAUUCGCGUAUAUUUACGAAUUAGUAGGUAACCUAAGUAACUUCAAAAGUUACCGCUAUUUUGACUGCCAUGUUAGCAUUGCCAACCUUAGCAUUUUACUUGUAACUAUCGGUUGGCAACGCUAACAUGGCGGUUAUCUUUUGAAGUUGCCUGGUUUGCCGGCUAACAUGUAAGUGCCAUUCCUUGUGAAUUUGAAUUCAGGAGAUCUAUUUAGUUGUCAUACGGUGCAGACUGUGCCUGUUUUCUUCCCUGAACUCUUCGAAAUAUCUAAUCCUUUCACCAUCGUUCCAGAUCAGCUCGGCGCUUUGCCAGGUCAUACUGUUACAUAAGGCAACGGCUCAGGAAACACGUUCUUGUGGCAACGAAUACACACAACAAUAGAAGAACUGUUGGAUGCAUCAUCUUCUAUGUUGCCG